GACGAACCGUGCGAACGUUGUUCGGAAUCACUGGGCUUAAAGGGCGCGUAGGCGGCUGACCAAGUCAGUGGUGAAAUCCUGCAGCUUAACUGUAGAAGGGCCUUUGAUACUGGUCGGCUCGAGGGAGGUAGGGGUCUGUGGAACUUCUGGUGGAGCGGUGAAAUGCGUUGAUAUCAGAAGGAACGCCGGUGGCGAAAGCGACGGACUGGACCUCUUCUGACGCUGAGGCGCGAAAGCUAGGGGAGCAAACGGG
rnacentral:rRNA from 1 species